rnacentral:rRNA from 1 species
GACGAACGCUGGCGGCGUGCUUAACACAUGCCAGUCGAACGGAAAGGCCCUGCUUGCAGGGUACUCGAGUGGCGAACGGGUGAGUAACACGUGGGUGAUCUGCCCUGCACUUCGGGAUAAGCCUGGGAAACUGGGUCUAAUACCGGAUAGGAGCCAUUUUUAGUGUGAUGGUUGGAAAGUUUUUUCGGUGUAGGAUGAGCUCGCGGCCUAUCAGCUUGUUGGUGGGGUAAUGGCCUACCAAGGCGGCGACGGGUAGCCGGCCUGAGAGGGUGGACGGCCACAUUGGGACUGAGAUACGGCCCAGACUCCUACGGGAGGCAGCAGUGGGGAAUAUUGCACAAUGGGCGCAAGACUGAUGCAGCGACGCCGCGUGGGGGAUGACGGCCUUCGGGUUGUAAACUCCUUUCGCUAGGGACGAAGCUUUUUGUGACGGUACCUAGAGAAGAAGCACCGGCUAACUACGUG